rnacentral:misc_RNA from 1 species
UGAGAAGGGGGAAACAUUUACCUACACUUGCUAGCACGAUCAGUUAUCUUAGUGAAGAAACCCACUUUGAUGAGAUGAUCGACAGCAAACCCAAGGAAACAUGCUAACAUUCUAUCAACACCUAUCGAGGCCGGAGAUCUCUUCGUGGCCCACGAUUCACUGGCUCCGGCCGUUUGAUUCCAGUUGCCUCCGGCUGCUGAAGCAUCUGAGGGCUAUCAUG